UACGUAGGGGGCUAGCGUUGUCCGGAAUCAUUGGGCGUAAAGAGCGCGUAGGCGGCCAGAUAAGUCCGGUGUGAAAGUCAAAGGCUCAACCUUUGAAUGCCGCUGGAAACUGUCUGGCUAGAGUCCGGGAGGGGCGAGUGGAAUUCCUAGUGUAGCGGUGAAAUGCGCAGAUAUCAGGAGGAACACCAAUGGCGAAGGCAGCUCGCUGGAACGGUACUGACGCUGAGGCGCGAAAGCGUGGGGAGCAAACAGG
rnacentral:rRNA from 1 species